GGGGGCCUGGUUCAGUAGCAGAGCAUCUGCUUUGAAUGCGGAAGGUCCCAGGUUCAUUCCCCGGCAUCCCCA
rnacentral:tRNA from 1 species